rnacentral:lncRNA from 1 species
UGUUUUUAUUUUUUAGGGUUCAUCAUGUGUUCUUAGGAAAAUUCGAAAUUCCUUUAUGUUUUGGAAUAUAAUUUGGAUUUUUGAGUGUUAUUUCCCUGUUUAUUCCAAUUUAAUCUGUUAAGUUUAUUCGAAAACUGUUAAAAGAUAUACAGUUAUAAUUUUCGAAAUAUUAUGAUAAAAUUAGAUCAUCACUAAAACAGGAAACCAUAUCUCAAAAUCCCUAACAAUUCGAAUUUUCGGUUAUGUUUUCACAUUAAUAGCUGUAACAGAAGUUUCGAGAUAAGUUUUAACCACCCGAGACAAAGGUCUCGACUCGAGACCACAAGAACUCGACUCGAAAUCAUAAGUGUUCUCAAAUGUUUAUAACUCGAGACAACGAUUUCGACUCGAGAUCAUAAGGUCUCGACUCGAGACCACUGAGGUUUCCACUAAGGGCUUAAAUCUGCUUAUCUAACACUCACAGUAAAUGAUUACUCGGCUAAGUGGGAGAAUGUCUCGACUCGAGACCAUAACGUCAUAACU